GAAGCUUGCUUCUCUGAUGGUUAGCGGCGGACGGGUGAGUAACACGUAGGCAACCUGCCCUCAAGCUUGGGACAACUACCGGAAACGGUAGCUAAUACCGAAUACUUGCUUUCUUCGCCUGAAGGAAGCUGGAAAGACGGAGCAAUCUGUCACUUGAGGAUGGGCCUGCGGCGCAUUAGCUAGUUGGUGAGGUAACGGCUCACCAAGGCGACGAUGCGUAGCCGACCUGAGAGGGUGAUCGGCCACACUGGGACUGAGACACGGCCCAGACUCCUACGGGAGGCAGCAGUAGGGAAUCUUCCGCAAUGGGCGAAAGCCUGACGGAGCAAUGCCGCGUGAGUGAUGAAGGUUUUCGGAUCGUAAAGCUCUGUUGCCAGGGAAGAACGUCCUUGAGAGUAACUGCUCAAGGAGUGACGGUACCUGAGAAGAAAGCCCCGGCUAACUACGUGCC
rnacentral:rRNA from 1 species